rnacentral:snRNA from 1 species
GUGCUUGCUUCGGCAGCACAUUUACUAAAAUUGGAAAGAUACAGAGAAGAUUAGUAAGGCCCUUGCGCAAGGAUGAUACGCAAAUUCGUGAAGUGUUCCAUAUUAAA